AAGUAAAAGUCGUAACAAGGUCUCCGUUGGUGAACCAGCGGAGGGAUCAUUACUGAGUUUACGCUCUAUAACCCUUUGUGAACAUACCUAUAACUGUUGCUUCGGCGGGUAGGGUCUCCGCGACCCUCCCGGCCUCCCGCCUCCGGGCGGGUCGGCGCCCGCCGGAGGAUAACCAAACUCUGAUUUAACGACGUUUCUUCUGAGUGGUACAAGCAAAUAAUCAAAACUUUUAACAACGGAUCUCUUGGUUCUGGCAUCGAUGAAGAACGCAGCGAAAUGCGAUAAGUAAUGUGAAUUGCAGAAUUCAGUGAAUCAUCGAAUCUUUGAACGCACAUUGCGCCCGCCAGCAUUCUGGCGGGCAUGCCUGUUCGAGCGUCAUUUCAACCCUCAAGCUCUGCUUGGUGUUGGGGCCCUACAGCUGAUGUAGGCCCUCAAAGGUAGUGGCGGACCCUCCCGGAGCCUCCUUUGCGUAGUAACUUUACGUCUCGCACUGGGAUCCGGAGGGACUCUUGCCGUAAAACCCCCCAAUUUUCCAAAGGUUGACCUCGGAUCAGGUAGGAAUACCCGCUGAACUUAAGCAUAUCAAUAA
rnacentral:rRNA from 1 species